UCGGGAAUUUUGGGCAAUGGGCGAAAGCCUGACCCAGCAACGCCGCGUGAAGGAUGAAAUCCCUCGGGAUGUAAACUUCGCAAGAUUGGGAAGAAUUAGUAGGGGUUAAUACCCUCUAUGAUGACGGUACCUUUUGUAAGCUCCGGCUAACUUCGUGCCAGCAGCCGCGGUAAUACGAAGGGGGCUAGCGUUGCUCGGAAUCACUGGGCGUAAAGCGCACGUAGGCGGAUUCUUAAGUCAGGGGUGAAAUCCUGGAGCUCAACUCCAGAACUGCCUUUGAUACUGAGGGUCUUGAGUUCGGGAGAGGUGAGUGGAACUGCGAGUGUAGAGGUGAAAUUCGUAGAUAUUCGCAAGAACACCAGUGGCGAAGGCGGCUCACUGGCCCGAUACUGACGCUGAGGUGCGAAAGCGUGGGGAGCAAACAG
rnacentral:rRNA from 1 species